GACUGGUUGGCGCAACGGUAGCGCGUUCGACUCCAGAUCGAAAGGCUAGGCGUUCAAAUCGCCUACUGGUCA
rnacentral:tRNA from 2 species